GUAGCAGCAGCAGUGACAGAGCUGGGAUUUCAUACCUGGGGCUCCCAGCCACCCUCUUCACCACAAUGUGUUGUCAAUUCCGGGCUGUGCUGUGCUUCCCCGCUGUGCCCGCCGCUGUGGGGCAGAGCAAGAGAGCUUUAGAACAAAGCAGUGAGGCUGCAGUGAGCACAGAGGCCACCAGAGGGCGCAAGGCUGCCAGCUGUGUGCCUUUCCCGUUUCUGAAGGUCGCCUUUCCCACCGGGGGCCCUGCUUCCUUUCUCCACAACCACCAUGGCCGGGGCCCCCCAAAGACAGGAUGGUGCUGUUGAGAGACAUGAAGUCAUCUGCCCAAGGUCACAGCCCAGUGAGACAGGCCGGUGAGAGAACAGGAAGCCAGCUCCUCCUCCUUCCAGUCUAUUCUUCUCACUGAGGUAUGCUGCCUCUUCACAAAACUCCGCGGGUGCCCUUGACCUCUCUCAAGGCUAGUCACCACACCCAUCCCGCUCCACCCUACCCCAGCAUGGGAUCCAAGCUGACGUCAUGGAGGGUGAAGAUGCUCCUCUCUCAACGCAGGCCCCAAAAGAUCAGAGAGGCAACUUCCUGUCCUGGACAAUGGCAAUAAAGACAUCUGAGGACAUUUCCCACCCUUCCCAGGCUUGAUGACGUUCACAGGCAGAGGCUGCCCUGGGAACAGUCCUCUGGUUCCGUGUGAGUGAAAGCACACACACUGUGUGACUCUGGGCUCCUUGUAAGUCCCAUACCUGGGUGACUAAGGUGACCAGAUGGCCAUGUGACAG
rnacentral:lncRNA from 1 species